GGAAGAGUGUCCGAGUGGUUUAAGGAGCCAGUCUUGAAAACUGGUGAUAUCGAAAGGUACCGUGGGUUCGAAUCCUACCUCUUCCGCCA
rnacentral:tRNA from 1 species